rnacentral:rRNA from 1 species
UACGAAGGGGGGCUAGCGUUGCUCGGAAUCACUGGGCGUAAAGCGCACGUAGGCGGCUUCUUAAGUCAGGGGUGAAAUCCUGGAGCUCAACUCCAGAACUGCCUUUGAUACUGGGAAGCUCGAGUCCGGGAGAGGUGAGUGGAACUGCGAGUGUAGAGGUGAAAUUCGUAGAUAUUCGCAAGAACACCAGUGGCGAAGGCGGCUAACUGGUCCGGUUCUGACGCUGAGGCGCGAAAGCGUGGGGAGCAAACAGG